rnacentral:rRNA from 1 species
UACGUAGGGUGCAAGCGUUAAUCGGAAUUACUGGGCGUAAAGCGUGCGCAGGCGGUGAUGUAAGACAGUUGUGAAAUCCCCGGGCUCAACCUGGGAACUGCAUCUGUGACUGCAUCGCUGGAGUGCGGCAGAGGGGGAUGGAAUUCCGCGUGUAGCAGUGAAAUGCGUAGAUAUGCGGAGGAACACCGAUGGCGAAGGCAAUCCCC